rnacentral:lncRNA from 1 species
GCCACUGUGGGACCGUGGGCUUUCCCACUGGUUCACAGGGUAAUCACGGGGGGCUUAGGGUUGUAGGCACCUGUUUCCACAGCCAUGCUGAUGCACAUGCCCACCCUCGGGGCAAUGGCAGUGCUAUGAGUGUCAGCCGGGAGAGAGUUUCUCACAGGGAGCCUCCAUGUUGGGGAACCAGAACGCUUCCAUGUGCCACCACGCUGGGCCCCAAGCUCCACAGGACAGAAGCUCCUCGUUUGGGACUUUGUUGGUUGCAUACAAGAAUAGACAUGACUCCAUUAUCUCCCGGCUCACUGUGAAAAAGAAAAUCCUGACAUCAGGUCUGUGGCUCAGUCGUGUACACAAGCUCCACCUUGCAGACAACCUUCAUGUCCUCUGCAUCUGGUAGCUCGGGCGCUGGAGGUGCAGCUGUGCACGAGUUGGGGUUCGCUGUGAGGUUACUGUGUGCCUCACCCGAGGCACGUGGGUCGGGGCAGGGUGACCCAAGGCGGGAUUGGCCCAAACUUCUUUCUCCCAGCUGCGUGUGGGCUUGAUUUAUUAAUUCUAACUCAUCAUGAACCAAGAGAUGAACUGUGACUUCAGGAAGAUUAUGGGUCAAUCUCCCCUUUGAAGAAUAAC